CCAAAAUGAAGUAAAUUAUAAUCUACCCUAGAAGUAAAUAUUGAACAAAGAAUUUAUAUGUUGUGGUAGAAACAUAUAUGUAACAGUAACAGUAUGAUGACUAUGAUUAACCAUUUGUUGGUACUAAUGUAAAUGUUUUCCCAAUACAAACAUUGCCCAAGUCCUUCCUACUAUAUAUUUGAUCAUAUUACAAUUUUAUUUCAGUCCAAUAGAAGACAUGUAUGGAGUCACUCUUCUUGCCUCCUACUGAA